rfam:Myotis brandtii contig303781, whole genome shotgun sequence.
GCCAAUGUUGCUAAGUGGCUAGAGUGUUGGCCUGUACACCGAAUGGUCUCGGGUUCGAUUCCCGAUCAAGGGCA